CCGACGGCCGCCUCGUUGCGGCGGAUCCAUGUGCUUCUGGCUCCUCUCCCCCUUCGUCGCCAGGUAUUCCCUGCCGCGCUACCUCUCAUACUCCAUCUCCUUCCAGAUGCUGCUGCUCUGCCGUCGAAGUGAUUGGCUCGAAUAAGGAUCCUUGUCGCUGGGGGCGGUCGGCGGUGGAGGUGGCGAUGGCAUUGCAGCGGUCGUCGGGUCGUGGGCUCCUGCAACGCGUUAAAGUCUUGCCUCGAAAUCAGUCUUCCUGUGCUGCUGUGCGGGAUGGAAAAUGCAUUCCAUGCUGAGGGUAGCAGUAUGGCUAUGGCCAAUAUAUAUGGUUUCUUCCUCAAGACAUGGCAGCUGUGAAGGCUGUGGGAGGAAGGCGGCGGCAACUGGAUUCUGCUCCUAUUCAGUAGCCAGACAUGCAACCAGCACUGCAUCGGUAGGGCGCCACCAGAGGGAAGUGUGCCUUACUCAUCUUCAGGUCCUGCUUCUUCUGCACCAAAGAAUGCGAGUGAAUGUUCUAGCACAACUGCAAAGCCUUCGCGCAUUAUACAAAUCCAUCCAUUCCUCAGCUGAAAAGAAAGAGUCCGAGUUUGUGUACAAGAGUCAUCUGCAUUGUUCAGUGUAAGACGGGAGCGCUCUUGGCAACUGAACGGAUACAUGAACAUGACCGCAUCUUUGUCCCUUGUUGUACAUUAGCUUUGUCCGAAUUGCCAUUCGGUGGAAGCAAUUCUGAAUUCUCUGAAUUUCAGGAGACCUCCUAAGACUUGAACAGUGGAAUGUGCUACUGAAUUUUGCCAGGUUCCAGAAAUGUGUAGAUACCUUGCAAGCCCACGAUCAACUGUAUCGUCAUAACCUGAACAAAC